rnacentral:rRNA from 1 species
UCAGAGUUUGAUCCUGGCUCAGGACGAACGCUGGCGGCGUGCUUAACACAUGCAAGUCGAACGGAAAGGUCUCUUCGGAGAUACUCGAGUGGCGAACGGGUGAGUAACACGUGGGCGAUCUGCCCUGCACUUCGGGAUAAGCCUGGGAAACUGGGUCUAAUACCGGAUAGGACCACGGGAUUCAUGUCCUGUGGUGGAAAGCUUUUUGCGGUGCAGGAUGA